rnacentral:rRNA from 1 species
AGUUGCGAACGGGUGAGUAACGCGUAGGUAACCUGCCUCUUAGCGGGGGAUAACUAUUGGAAACGAUAGCUAAUACCGCAUAACAGUAGAUGUUGCAUGACAUUUACUUAAAAGGUGCAAUUGCAUCACUAAGAGAUGGACCUGCGUUGUAUUAGCUAGUUGGUGAGGUAACGGCUCACCAAGGCGACGAUACAUAGCCGACCUGAGAGGGUGAUCGGCCACACUGGGACUGAGACACGGCCCAGACUCC